GACGCCUUUGCUGGGGCUUGACCACCUCUGUGAAGCCCACAGGUGGUGAAUGAAGUGGGUGUAGUGUAUGAUCAUGUCAUUAGGGGUCACUGCUACCGAGUCAGUGACCUCUUUCCAUGUGCGGUCCUGUGGAAUGGUAGGCCCUUCUCUGCAGUGGCCUUGGGUCCUUAAAUUUUAUCAGGCCUUGUGGACAGAAGUCCUCAACUUGAUGAGAAGGUAAUUGCCUGUAAUCCCGGUGCUUGGGAGGUAGAGACGGGAGGAUAGAGUCUCAAGUCAUCUUUGACUAUGUAAUGAAUUCCAGGCCAGCCUGGAUUACACAAGAUCCUGUUUCAACAAACAAAUAAACAGAGCGAAAGUCUUUGAGUACUCUACUACUUCUUCCGGAAAGAACAAGCAGACUUUCCACGAGCAAAAGGGUUCCUGGCGUCCUUCAGUACCAGGCUGUGAAGGUCACUUCCUGUCAGAGACCGGGCAGAACUGGAAUCCAUUGGCAUCUCCUCAGAGAGAAUGCUGACUCUAAGCUAUAUCCCCAUCCCGAUACCAUCAGAUUGGGGCGUCUGGAGCCUUGAGACAUGAAGUAUGACAUAUGUCGAUUGUCGGCGAUGCUUUGUCCGUCAUUCCAUCAUACACCGUGUGGUCUUUUCACUGUCGUCAGGAUAAUACUGCCCAAAACAGGAACUGUUCCUUCAGCUUGGGGGUCCAGGAUGAGAGCAUCCAGGAACA